UACGAAGGGGGCUAGCGUUGCUCGGAAUCACUGGGCGUAAAGGGCGCGUAGGCGGCCAUUCAAGUCAGAGGUGAAAGCCCAAGGCUCAACCUUGGAAUUGCCUUUGAUACUGUUUGGCUUGAGACCGGAAGAGGUUAGUGGAACUGCGAGUGUAGAGGUGAAAUUCGUAGAUAUUCGCAAGAACACCAGUGGCGAAGGCGGCUCACUGGCCCGAUACUGACGCUGAGGUGCGAAAGCGUGGGGAGCAAACAGGG
rnacentral:rRNA from 1 species